AGAUCCAAUAUGCUAUGAGUGCUAAGAAAUCCCGGUGUGGAAAAGGGAUUAUGACAUAUUUGGCAUUGAUGAGCAACUUCAUGUUAUAGACAAGGUUGAAAUGCAAUAUGCUGGGGAAAACUUUUCACAUGUAGAGCUUCCGGUACUACAUCCUGCUGCUUAUGAUUCUGGAGAUGAUGCUUUUAAUGUUAUUAGCUUUACAAAUUUUCAGUCGAUAUUUCAAAAUUCCAAACCAUGGCUAAUACAGGUAUAUUCAUCUGGGAGUAACCGCUGUGCUGAGUUUUCUAAUGCUUGGAAAA